rnacentral:rRNA from 1 species
AUUGAACGCUGGCGGCAUGCCUUACACAUGCAAGUCGAACGGCAGCACGGGGGCAACCCUGGUGGCGAGUGGCGAACGGGUGAGUAAUACAUCGGAACAUGCCAAGUAGUGGGGGAUAACCCGGCGAAAGCUGGGCUAAUACCGCAUACGACCUAAGGGUGAAAGCUGGGGAUUCGCAAGGACCUGGCGCUAUUUGAUUGGCCGAUGUCGGAUUAGCUAGUUGGUGGGGUAAAGGCCUACCAAGGCGACGAUCCGUAGCUGGUUUGAGAGAACGACCAGCCACACUGGAACUGAGACACGGUCCAGACUCCUACGGGAGGCAGCAGUGGGGAAUUUUGGACAAUGGGGGCAACCCUGAUCCAGCAAUGCCGCGUGAGUGAUGAAGGCCCUCGGGUUGUAAAACUCUUUCGGUGGGGAAGAAAUCUUUAUGGUGAAUAGCCGUGGAGGAUGACGGUACCCGAAGAAGAAGCACCGGCUAACUACGUGCCAGCCGCCGCAGUAA